GACGAACGCUGGCGGCGUGCCUAACACAUGCAAGUCGAGCGGAGCGGCGGACGGGUGAGUAAUGCCUAGGAAUCUGCCUGGUAGUGGGGGAUAACGUCCGGAAACGGGCGCUAAUACCGCAUACUAUCAGAUGAGCCUAGGUCGGAUUAGCUAGUUGGUGGGGUAAAGGCCUACCAAGGGGACGAUCCGGAACGGGUCUGAGAGGAUGUUCAGUCACCCGGGAAAUGAUCAACGGUCCGACCUCCUACGGGGGGCGGCCGUGGGGAAUAUUGGACAAGGGGCGACAGCCUGAUCCAGCCCGGCCGCGUGUGUGAAAAAGGUCUUCGGAUUGUAAGGCACUUUAAGUUGGGAGGCGUUACCAACAGAAUAAGCACCGGCUAACUUCGUGCCAGCCGCCGCGGUAAUAC
rnacentral:rRNA from 1 species